AAAAUAUCCAAGUCGUCCAUUUAAUUAGCAGAUACAUUGUGUGCUCAUGCAACUCGCGGCAAGAGAGGGAAAAAAACACAUUUGGUUUACUAGUUUCUAAUAUAUGGUUUCAUGUGUGGAGGCAUCAUUAUAAUGUGUUUAAUGAGUUGUGUUCUUUGUAUAAGUCCCUUUCAUUUAAAAGUGAUUACAUGGAUGGAUUAGGUAAACAGUAGGCCAACACAACAAUACUAUUUCAGACGGCCCCCGACAGAAAAAAAGACUGAUAAAUUGUUGUUUGUUCAGAUUUCUGAAACUACUUAUAUUUAAUUUGACCUCAAAUGACUUAAAAGAACUUAGAUUCCUGUUUUUCUUACCAACAGUUGACAUUUUUUUCUUUUUAUUAAUCACCAUGAUCGUCUCCUAACUUUAAAGGUUCUAUAUGUAGGUAUUUUCCAUUGCCAUCUUGCCAAUUUUAGCAUUAACUGCUGUUUACCCACAAAUCCAGAAGAACAUUGCAAGUUCGGCAUCAAACUUAAUUCCUUUACUAUUCCUUUAGAGCUGUCUCCAGUGGCUGAGACCAUAGACAAUUCUUGUUUUGCUUCUAUCUCCAGCUCUCCUUUUCUUUGCCUCUGAAGGUGGUUUCUCACCUUCUGAGCCGCACAACUCCUUCUUCCUCUCAUGUUGGACUGAGGGCAAGAUGGACGCCACGGUGACUCUCUGUCACCUCUUGAGGGACAGCAAUAUCACAAGACGCAAUGCCUUCAAGACGGGAGCCAGAACUGCACUGGAAAAAGAAACGCUGCCACACGGUGUAUAUACCUGGGAAAAAAAGAAACGAUCAUGCCACUGUGUCAUUACCCAGCCUUGACUCUCUCAGAGCAGUCACAUUCAAAGAGCAUUUUUCAGGAGCACCCUCCCCAGCACGACGAGUAAGCAUGGCUAAUGGAAAUCUAAUCAGCAGCAAGAGAGGACAGCCGGCAUAAAGCAACAGAUAAUAAAUAGAAGAAAGAUGCAAAUGGUAUUUAUUUUAGACAGGCAGCGCUGACAAGCCUGAUAAUGCCUCCUCAUGCAAUUUCUCCCUGAAGCUUCCUUUUGAUUGCUCCAAAGUUGUAUGCACCAUAUUUCACAGCCUAUCGUUUAUGGAAUAAAUUGUUUUAUUCAUAGAAAUGUUUUCAUUUUUUCCCCCCGACCGUCUCUUGUCAGUGGUGCAUGAGCACCACGACAGUAAACCUAAAUUAAUAAAGAGCAAUGUAAAUUGCUGCAGUCAUUACACACCAGCAGCACUUAAGAACUGGAAACAUCCACAUAUUUUAGGCUGAAAUGAAAUUCCUUUUGUGCUCUGCGCUAGUGUUAACAAGAUUAUACUUUCGGCUGAAAGAUGAGAUCUGAAUGCUCUAUAACCUGCCUCCAACCAAAAUGGCUUACACUGCCUUGUUCUCCCAAACUGGCUGUAGAGUGGCAUUUCUUGUAAUUGCACCAGCUGUAAUGACACAUUUAACCACAUGAGUUGUGCACAUACAGCCUACACAUGAUGCUGAUUCUGUAUUUCUUCUCAUAAUGAACGCACUCUGGAUUUCAACAAUAGUAUAAAAGUAUUUUGUGACUCUGUGCAGGGACUGAAUCCUUUCAAAGUUAAGUGAUCACAGACAUUUUCAGCCCCUAUCUAAGUGCCAAAAGUAUUAAUGCUACGUUUUAUUUUUAGUUUCAAAUAUUUCUCACAAGUGCAGCACAUUUGAUUAAAUCAUUGGAAACAACAUCAUCUACAGCGACUGUUAAACUUUUCUGUUAAAACUGUGAAAAUCAUCUCACGACGAGGUCAAAUGAGAAGCUGGUCUGGAGCAUCAUAUACAGUAGUUUUGCCAGUUGUGCAAUUUUACAUAUUUACAUUUUCCUUUAUUCAUUAGCACUUUAAAGUUCUAAUCCUUACAACAUCAGCCCUGGUAGAUUUGUCAAUAAAUGUGGUUGCUAGUGGGUUUAGCAGGUGCACUACAACGUUACAACAAGCCCUUGCUGACAUUCGCUGAGCAGCUGUUUUGUCAAAAAAAUACAAAAGAAGAUCAGCUGGUGUAUUUAUUUACAACACAGCCAAACAAACCCAUGUUGUUUUAAUUCCAACUGAUUCACUGUCAGAAAAAAAAAGCCAAAAAAUAACCAUGUCUUGUUUUGUAGAUGCAUUUAUGAAAGACACUAAAUAAUAGGAAAUUAAAUUUCAAUGGUAUGUUGACUACUUGUUCCCACAGCCCACAAACGAGCCAAGAAUAUAGGUUCUCAAAGGUUGAAGGAAGUGUCCACGUGGGUUAAGAGUCUGCAGUUUAAAAAAAAAAAGGUCUUUAUAAUAGUUGAAUAUCCAUCCACUGAUUAUUCGACCAGGCCAAGUUUCAUUCCAAAUUGAGUGUAUAUCAACAGUAUAAUUUGCCCAUGAAAGGGCUUCACUAUGCACCAUGGAUCAACAAGUUUUCGCAUUUGUCCAGCAGUAAGUUUGUCCCGUAGCCCAGGUGCAUCUGUGCCACACAGGAGCGCAGCCUGUCAUUAGCACUAAUAUAGCAGUCAGGGGAGCUGCAGAAUUGUUACUUGGUCUCGAGUCUUUUUGUUUUUUCCUCAACUCAAGUAUGAAUCUGGCAAAUACCUUGGUGUCAGUGCGCUGGGUCUGUUCAGCUGUACCGAGAAGCGUUUCCGCAGAGGCAUUCCUUAUCAAGUCUUGGUUUUGGUCCUCAGCAGCUCGUGGUUGGACUUCACUGAACGGCUUCAGAUACUGUCAACACUGUCACACAUCUCCAACCGGCAGCCUAUCAGAGAGAAAGAGUCAUUAGAUGAAUCGUGGCACUACAUGUGCACAGCAUCUAGUCUCUGUGUAAUAUCAUUUCAAAUAUAAAAGCACUGCUAGAGCUUCUUAUAAUUUUUAAUUGUUCUGUAUAUAAUGAUUUUGAGCUGAAUAUUCCCCUCCACAUACAGUUUGUUUAGAAAACUUUAAGCAUUAAUUCUGCAGCAGCUUCCAGCUACAUGCUGCCACAGAUUUCUGGUUUGAUAUUGAUGUAUAAUCUCUAAUGUAUAAACACCUUGGGCUCUACUUUAACAAUCUAAGUGCUUGAUCUAAAGCGCAAGGUGGUUUAGCGAUGAAAAAAAAAAAGGUUGCUGUGCCAGGGACAUGGUUCAAAGAGUUGUACUUAUUGUAUUGAUCAUAGGUGUGUUUCAGGCGUAACAUGCAAUAAAGCUAUCAGAGUGCCAUCUCCCAUUCGCUUCAUAAGCCAUGUGUGCAUGCCCUUUCAAAUAAAAAAAAUUAUAAAACACCCUCCCUCUGACUUAGAGAUGCCAUGUCCUCAGCAGGCAUUCAGAUUUCUAAAUGAGGAUGAACUUAGUGGAUUCUACUGAGCAUAUUGCUUUCGGAGCAAAUAUGACAAAGAGGGAACUCGCUGCUUGAUGUCCUGCUGAGAUAACACACGUUUCCCUGACAUCAUUUUUUUCCCCUCCUUUCAUAACUGCCUUAAGUGGUAAAAAACAAAACAACCACAGGACUAUAUUUCAGACUGACAAAUGCAAUCCCAUCACUGGUCAAACUAAGCAAAUCAUGAAAGAUUUUGUGUUAAGAUUUUUCUUUUAGCAUCCUACUUUGAAAAGAAUCCAUGAAAUUUGGCUAAAAACGUGACUUGGGAUUGAAAACACAGCCUCAGCUCGCAGGGAA
rnacentral:lncRNA from 1 species